GGUCCCGUAGUGUAGCGGUUAUCACGUCGCCCUGUCACGGCGAAGGUCGCGGGUUCGAUUCCCGUCGGGACCG
rnacentral:tRNA from 1 species